AAAUUCAAAACUUGAAAGCCAUCAUAAAAUAUUUGAAAGAGCACAUUUCAACCCCCUAAAACAACAGGAUCGCAUCCAGGUUACAGUAUUGAAAUUAGAAUCCACCACUAAUAUUACACAGCAUUUCUUACCAAAUCAGAUCAUCUUCGAUAAGAGGAAUCACUGUCAACUAUUCCAGCUAUGACUUACACUUGAAACCCUAUAGCACAGCUCUAGCUUGCACCAACCUCAUCAACUUUCCUGAACACUCCUCAACCACUGGAUCCUCAACUCUGUCUCCUCGCCUAGCAUUAGCCUUAUCCACAAUCUCAAUCAAUCAUCUCAACUUUAAGCCUUUCUGAAAUGGUUAGAAAGGAAUAGCAAGGGUGAGCAACAAUGCUCAGCAAGUAAUAAUAAACAAUGAUAGUUCUGAAAUGAUAUAACAAAAGUUCACGAGUUCAAGAUAUAAGAGGAUUCAACCUGAUUUCAUGAGUUCAUGGUAUUGUAUAGAAUGAUUUACAAUACCUUGCAGCAUUUAAACUGAGAAAUUCAAUCUUUCCAAAGAAUUAUUGAAUUGGACUAUCACAUUUUAAUUAAAACCAAGGUUAGGCAGCUGAUCAGUUCCGCACUAACCCCGAGCAGGCCCCGCCAUGCUCUAUCACUGGAUCCAAGGCACUCAUUGGCCUAACAUGACCACGAAUCUGGUCCACAGGUUUAUAUAAAAACAAUAAUCCAAUUCUCUAAUUCAAUUCAAGAAGCCAAUGUAAAUUAACAGAACAUCAUCAUAAAUAUCAUCAACAACAGAAUAAUUCCAAUUCAAACUUUGAUAAUAAUCUAUUCAUAAAUCAUGAUCCAUCAUUUCAUAAAUCACAGUUCAGGAAAUCCUCAACUAUUCAGUAUCCUCCAUUAUCGGCUAAGCAACUGAAUUUAGCCUGCUAAACCAGCAUGACAAUGGCGGGUUGAAUAAUCAAGAAGAUCCCAAUUCAUUCAAAGCUCUAACUAUCACUGAGCAACACAUGCUUCAAUGACAAUCUGAACUUCGAAUUAAUUUGUAAAACGGAAAUUCUUUAGAAACUUGAAGAUUAGAAAGAAUGGGUCAGAAUACUCGCACUUUCGAACAUUGAAAAGAAAGGUAUGAAUACUUGAAACAUAUACCAAAGGAAUGGAUCAGAAUAUUUGCAAUAUAUCCAAGAGAAAGGUUUAGGAUACUUGCCUUAAAUCUGACUCCAGUCUCACAUCUCAAUCUCAUCUUUCCACUUUCACAAUCUAUGCAUCUCAUAGUCUCUAGACCAUCUCUGGCUAUACUCUAUCUACCGUACAUCUUCGCUUCGCUUACUCGAUUCAUCCCUUAUUCGCUUUGUAACACCACGUGACUUUCUGAACGUCUUCGGGCAUACACGUCUCGUCCAAAUCCUUUACGAGAAUAAGAUAACACUAUAAUCACUAAACAAUCGAUCGCAUAUACAUCUCACGUAUAUCGAUACCCACUUAUAUAUCCCUUUAAACUUAUCAGAUACCACGUAACACAUAAGCAUGCUUUGACUCUAACAUAUAGUCAAUCAUAUUCCACAUAACAUAUCACCAAUCAAUUAUCAUAUAAAUCCUUAUCGAAAAUCCGACAUCGUCUCGUCUAUGUAUAAGACUAUCCACCUAUUAUCCUAUCUCAAUCAUUAAUCAACCAACAAAAUCCAAUAGCUAUAAUCCAUAUAUUCUUAUCCAAUAUCAAUCAUACGAAUCAUUUAUCACUUCACAAUAUCAAAACUAACACGUACUUCACAUAAUCAUCACCUGAUAGCACUUAGAUCACAUAUUAUCACAUUAUGCAUACUUAUCAACAAUUAUUCACCUUAUAGACUCAGCCAUAUAGUCACAUCAUAUUAAAAUAGACGUUAUAAGCUUCUGUCUCUCUUUCGUUUCACUUGAUUCCGACUUACGGAUCAAAAGUUAUGCUCAAAACAGUUUUCUCACUCUCCUAUCGGCACAUAACACAUCCAACCAAUAGCAGACAACACACAACACAUAAGGUUUCCCAUCCCAAUUGAUAUUAAAUCAAGUCUUGGGUUAAAAAUGAUUUUUCGGGAAUUUUCCAGAAUUUUUAAACAUUUUUCGGAAUUAAAAUCGAUAAAAGAAUCACUUUUCGAAUAAAUAAUCAAGUCCCAAAUACUUGAAAUUGGACUUGAAAUCAUUCAUAAACAAUUAUCGAGCCUUGAAAAUAAUUUGGAAAAAUAUUUUAAAGCUCGAAACUAUUUUUCGGAAUUUUUAAAUCAAAAAGGAUUAAUUAAAUCCAAUUAAUUAAUCAAUUAAAAUCAAUUAAUAAUUAAUUAAAAUAAUUAAUCAAUUAAUAUUUAAAUUAAUUGACUAAUUAAAAUAAUUAAUUACUAAUUAAAUUUAAUUAACAAACUAAUUUAGAUUUAUUUUUGAAUAAAGAAAUAAUUAAAAACUAUUUUUCGGAAUUAAAAUAAUUAAAUAAAAACAAUUUUUGAAAAUUAAAAUCAAAAGGUUUAAAGUGUAAAGUUUUGAAAACAUUUUCACAAGGUCAGAAGUGUAAGUUUUCAAACAUUCAGGGUCUGUUUUGAAAAUCUACAAACUUGGGUGUUAUAACUGUUUCUUCUUUGAAACUCCGGGGACCAAACUGCAGUUUGACCCUCCGGUCAUCUUUUCCGGCGAGAACUCACCGGACUUUGGCCGGAUUUAGUACACCGUGCCCAGAACUCGACACCAAAGUGCAGAUCCGCUCUACUCCCUCUCAGGAAUCCACUCGUGCAAUCGGUUUUAUCAAAGGAUCGGCCGUUUGGCCGGAAAAUUAAACCAAAACUAAGAACGCCGCCGCAGUUUCAAACUCCGGCGAGGCCUCAUCUCGACUCCAACAGCUGAUUCGAUUAUAUGAACACACUCAGCAUUCAACGAUCUACACAUCUGUGUUUUCCAAUCUUACCCAGCCUUCCUAGAACUCAAACUCCGGCGAAAAUUCAAAGAAAGCUCAAGAACACCCCAAGAACACAGUUCAGUAAUCAAACCAACUUUUCUAGAUGUUAUGGAACUCAAAAAUCAACAUAUAAUAUACCAAAACGACGAGAAAAACACGUACUACAACAUGGAAUCAUCAAAACAAUCAAACAACCAAGUUUGCGAAAAUUCAUCAUUUAAAUCAGAUAAAUUCGAAUUUUAGAAAAAUAAUCUAAAAUCACCUGUUGAAUCUGCAUAUAAACGGAUGAUUGUACUAGAUUCUACGCGUCGAGAGCUUCGUUUUGACUAUUUAUACGCCUCCAUCGGAUUCCAAUAACACCUUCAAAUCCUCGUUUGAUUAUGAAGAACACGAAGAACGCAGCUCGGUUUCUCUCGGUAUUCGUGAAAAGAAACUGGUGAAAUGAUUUUACGGGUGAAAAUCAGCUAUAGAAAAGUCUAUUUAUAUUUACAAAUAAUUGGUACCCCUUUGGAUCGUUUAUGACAUGAAAAUACGUAUUUAAUAGCUUUAUAUUAAUAAAGCGGGGUCCAAUCGGUACUGGUUUUCAAGAUAAUCAUCAAAACGGGGCUUUUUAAUCAGUCAUUAGUAUGCGGGUCCCACUGCAAUUAUUACAAGAUAAGGAUGAAUCAAAAUAUCUAGUUUCACGUUUAUCGAGACAACCAGAUAAUUAUCAACAAUUAAAAUACCCGAAAAACUCCGCCGGACCGACUACGGGGAAAACCGUACUCCGGAUCGAAAAAGUCAAAACACGAAAAAUGUCCGGAAUAUUCAAAUUAGACUAAAGGUGAGUUUUGUUGAAACUUCUGGGAAGAAAAUUUGCUACACCGUUACGAGUGGACGAUUUUACGGAAGUCAAAUAAUUAAUCAAUAAAUAUAAAUAUACGCAAUUAAAUCCGUAAAUCGAUUAUAAAAUCAUCUAACAUUCCAUAAAUCGAUAUGAAAAUAUCCAAAUAAACUAUAUUUUCUCCUGAGCAUAUAGAAAUUGAAAUCUCUCAAAUACGAACACAUAUGAGCAGUUAACGCAAUAAACCAGAUAAUAUAAAAUUCACAAAAAUUCAUAUAUUAAUCAUAUAAUACUCAUAAUUAACCAUAACUAAUUAACCAACAAAUCCACCAAUACCACUUACUCACAUCACACAUAUAUUCACAUAAUAAUCAUCUAAAAUUUUCGAAACAAUAUAUGAAAAUCAGUUUUAAAAAUAUAAUCAUUUAUCAAUAACACAAUAACCCGGGGUUUAAAUAUAAAACUUUGAAAACUCAUUAAACUGGAAUAAAAUAUUAAAUCUUAUUCCUUUCUUUUUAAUAAA
rnacentral:lncRNA from 1 species